rnacentral:rRNA from 1 species
UACGUAGGGUGCAAGCGUUGUCCGGAAUUAUUGGGCGUAAAGAGCUCGUAGGCGGUUUGUCGCGUCUGCUGUGAAAUCCCGAGGCACAACCUCGGGCCUGCAGUGGGUACGGGCAGACUAGAGUGCGGUAGGGGAGAUUGGAAUUCCUGGUGUAGCGGUGGAAUGCGCAGAUAUCAGGAGGAACACCGAUGGCGAAGGCAGAUCUCUGGGCCGUAACUGACGCUGAGGAGCGAAAGCGUGGGGAGCAAACAGG